CCCAGAGUAGCCUAGUGGUAGGUUGCUUGACUGGUACUCAAGAGUUGGUGGUUCAAGUCCCCUGUGGGA